rnacentral:lncRNA from 1 species
GUGAUUAAAGAAAUCCCCGGACCCUGUCAGAACCUCUGAAUCAGCACACAUACACUGAGAUGUUUAAGCCAUGUUUAAGGGACCAACAGCAGAACUGAUACAGGAUCCGUCGGGAUCCGUCUCAGGAUAAUGGAAAUCCUCCUGAUGAUAGCAGGCCCAUAAACCACGCAUGUAGAGGGGAGUAGGACAUCUACAACAGGGGGACGAGGACGAGGAACUCAUGCAUCAUAAGAGACUCCAGCUCACUACCUGUUUGCCGCCCCUCCCCUCAGGAAAGAGGCUGCGGAGUACCAGGGCAAGGACCACCUGGCAGAGAAACAGCUGCUGCCCUGAUGAUGUUUUUGGGAUUUUACUCUUUGAUUUAUCAAUUAAAACAUCUCCAGCUGGAGCUUCAAUUGCAGUCCGGGCAAGGUUCUUCUGAUGGGAACAUCCUCAUCAUCCAG